rnacentral:rRNA from 1 species
UACGGAGGAUCCGAGCGUUAUCCGGAUUUACUGGGUUUAAAGGGUGCGUAGGCGGCCCUGCAAGUCAGCGGUGAAAUGUGGCGGCUCAACCGUUUCGCUGCCGCUGAUACUGCGGGGCUUGGAUUCGGUCGAGGCGGGUGGAAUUCGUGGUGUAGCGGUGAAAUGCAUAGAUAUCACGAGGAACGCCGAUAGCGAAGGCAGCUCGCCGGGCCGCGAUCGACGCUGAGGCACGAAAGCGUGGGGAUCAAACAGG